CUUUUCGACGACUUCGUCAUAUUUUUUUUCUUUUUAUUACGAGUUCUUAGGAAUUCGUCGACUUAAGCUCGGCGUGUUCUCAAGUUCCGCGUGAGUACCUCUUAGCCGUGACAUCCGGGCCCAUCGCUGUUGUCAGGACUAAAGUAUUCGAGUUAUCACCUUUGCCGAUAGUGUAACACCCUAGGUGUUAAGCAUGCACUUAGUCUCACCAAAGCCCUGCAUAAGCAUUCCAUCAAGCAUAAGCAUCAUGAGCAUGACACUCUUGAGCAAAUUAUGAUUUUAUGUGCUUCAUUUCAUGUGUUUUAAAUAUGUUAAAAAUAUGAUACUUGCUCCU
rnacentral:lncRNA from 1 species